UUCCGGUUGAUCCUGCCGGAGGCCAUUGCUAUCGGUGUCCGAUUUAGCCAUGCGAGUCGCACGUAUAACGUGGCAAACGGCUCAGUAACACGUGGUCGAACUACCCUACGGACCGUGAUAACCUCGGGAAACUGAGGCUAAUAACGGAUAGUGCUCCCGAGCUUGAAUGCUGGGAGCGCGAAAGCUCCGGCGCCGUAUGAUGUGACUGCGGCCGAUUAGGUAGACGGUGGGGUAACGGCCCACCGUGCCGAUAAUCGGUACGGGUUGUGAGAGCAAGAACCCGGAGACGGACUCUGAGACAAGAGUCCGGGCCCUACGGGGCGCAGCAGGCGCGAAACCUUUACACUGCACGCAAGUGCGAUAGGGGGACACCGAGUGCGAGGGCAUAGAGCCCUCGCUUUUGUGUACCGUAAGGUGGUACACGAAUAAGGGCUGGGCAAGACCGGUGCCAGCCGCCGCGGUAACACCGGCAGCCCAAGUGAUGGCCGCUAUUAUUGGGCCUAAAGCGUCCGUAGCCGGCCGUACAGGUCCGUCGGGAAAUCCACUGGCUUAACUAGUGGGCGUCCGGCGGAAACCGUUCGGCUCGGGACAGGGAGACCAGAGGGGUACGUUCGGGGUAGGAGUGAAAUCCUGUAAUCCUGGACGGACCAUCGGUGGCGAAAGCGCCUCUGGAGAACUGAUCCGACGGUGAGGGACGAAAGCUGGGGUCUCGAACCGGAUUAGAUACCCGGGUAGUCCCAGCCGUAAACGAUGCUCGCUAGGUGUGUCGCAGGCUACGAGCCUGCGAUGUGCCGUAGGGAAGCCGAGAAGCGAGCCGCCUGGGAAGUACGUCCGCAAGGAUGAAACUUAAAGGAAUUGGCGGGGGAGCACUACAACCGGAGGAGCCUGCGGUUUAAUUGGAUUCAACGCCGG
rnacentral:rRNA from 1 species